UGUCUCCUAACGUUCCAGUCCCAGUCAGA
rnacentral:piRNA from 1 species